AUAUAUUUUGUAAAAAAAAAUCUGUUCUUAUCAGUUUAAUAUCUGUACGUCCCCAUCGGGGAACUACAUAAUAAAUGGAUUUUUCGAACAGGGAGUCGGAAAUAGGGCUUACAUCCGUCCGCUCCACGCAUCUCGACCCGGGUAUUGCAGUACACUCCGGAACGGUGUCAACACU
rnacentral:snRNA from 1 species